GCGCGUCGUGAGGGGAGAUGGCGGGACACAGGCUCCCUCACGGCACCGCCGGGCCGAGGCCUCCGGGAACGGGCCGGGCCGAGGCAACCGGAAUGAGGAGCCCGCGGUGAGCACUGCCCUGGUGCUGGGGCCUUCAGCAGCGCUGAGCUGAUGUCUGGCUGAGCGUCGUGCCUGCACCCUCCUGUGUGCAGUUUCCACAUCAGCGCAAGGGAUGCUGCUGAGGAAGAACCAGCUCCGUUUGAGCUUUGUAAACUGCUGGUGCUCAGCCUCCACGGGCAGUUCUGGCAGUGCACUUGAAUAAGGCUGCAAAGGUGUUAUGAAAUCCUUGUACAAGAAAUGUUUUCCUUGACAGCUUUUUGGUGUAAGUUGCUUGCGAC